CAGAGGGGGCAAGCGUUAUUCGGAAUUAUUGGGCGUAAAGGGCGCGUAGGCGGCUUUGCAAGUGGCGGGUGAAAUCCCUCGGCUUAACCGAGGAACUGCCUGCCAGACUGUGAGGCUUGAGACCGGGAGAGGUGAGUGGAAUUCCCAGUGUAGCGGUGAAAUGCGUAGAUAUUGGGAGGAACACCAGUGGCGAAGGCGGCUCACUGGACCGGAACUGACGCUGAGGCGCGAGAGCGUGGGGAGCAAACAGGAUUAGAUACCCUGGUAGUCCACGCCGUAAACGAUGAGUGCUUGGUGUAGCGGGUAUCGACCCCUGCUGUGCCGAAGUCAACACAUUAAGCACUCCGCCUGGGGAGUACGGUCGCAAGACUG
rnacentral:rRNA from 1 species